UGACUACUAAAAGAACCCAAAGAGUGGGUUUAUGGGAGAGGAGAGAGCUACACCCUCAUUUAGGGUUUCUAAAAAAUCUCCAACUUGGGUUUCAGGAUUUACAGGAGGUGAUCUGUUUGUGUGGAAGUGAACAAAACACAGGAAGCACAAGCAGGCUACUGGGCAAGCGCCAGUACUGCUCCUCACCAUUUAAUGGGGUGAAUCUGAAUGACUUCACCAGACAGACGAGCAGGACUGUGCAUGAUCAGCUCACAUGGACAUAAUCAAAGAACUAGAGCCUGGAGAGAGAAGUAACCCCCAGCCCUUCUUCCUUCUUUCGUCAGAUUCUGCAAUGGGCUGCUUGUGUUGCUCCCCUCAGAGUUUUCAAGGACUCAUCAGCUCUGCCCUUCUGACCUCAUCUCUUCUUACACGCUACGACCCCUCACUGAAGCCAGCUGUGAGCUGGAUCUGGUCCAACGUCCUCCUUUCAUCCAGCCACUUUGAAGUACCGCAGGAAAUCCAGGAAAUUCCCGAACCGAUCUGUGGUCCAGUCCAGUGUUCCACAGGGGGAGGUUCAGGGGAGAGUCAUCAUUUCAUGGAGUAUGUGAGGGAAGAAACCACAUGGAAAAGGUGGUAAGCAAGUUGGGUCCACAUUUAUUUUGUUCUAGGUUUCAUGAUGCUUGUAUCUAAAACUUGUAUCUAAAACAAGGUAGAUGUUUCUAUAAACUACAAUAUGAGGUCCUAAACCUAGCCUGUGUGGGCUAGUAUACUGUAGUCAAAAUGUUUGCCUUGGGUUAAGUUGAGCCAAUAGCCAUGGGGUAAGUUGAUAGCCAAUAGCCAAUAGCCACCAUACCCCAUACAAAUUAUAAUUAUGUUUUAUGCAUAAUAUGCAUAGUAUGCAUAGUAUUUUUGCAUUGUGUCAUAGGGCUUACGCCAUACCGACAUACCGGCAUACGCCAUAUCAUGAAGGCAGUCAAAUUCAGUCACGGUAAUUAGGCUCCAACCUCUCAUGCUGCUUCUGGUCAUUAGUAGCCUACAAAACUUGCUAACUGUCUGGUACUCAGUACUCUAUUGUCGCUCUAAUCACUCUGACAUCAAUGCAAAUGUAUUCAAAAAUCUAAUCAAACACUUCAAGGGGGGCUCAUGAGUUCAUGUUGCGCAAUGUUUUUAUAGGCUAUGCAAUUGCGGGAGAAAACAGAGUGAUGGCCUCUAAUAAAAAGAGGAGGAUCAACUUUCUACAGGCUAGGCCUUGUCACGACUCCUACCGAAGGUGGCUCCCCUUCCUGUUCGGGUGGCGCUCGGUGGUCGUCGUCACCGGCCUAAUAGCUGCCACUGAUCCCUUUUUCCCCUUUCUGUUUAUUGGUUUCACCUGUUUGUGUUUUAGGCUGAUUAGUCAGGCUUUAUUUACCAGUAGGCCCACCUGCUCUUUGUGCGGGAUUGUUUUGUGUAACUUGUGUGCACGUCUGUGGGUUACGUGUUUCCCAUUUCGUGGGUUUUGCUGGACUGUUUAAGUGCCCGUGUUUGGGGCAUUUGUUUUGUUGUGUGCCCUGUGUUUCGUGGGGUUGGCGUAUAUUCACCAUUUUGUGCAUUAAAUAUAGCACUACCCUGAA